UGGGGAAUUUUGCACAAUGGGGGAAACCCUGAUGCAGCGACGCCGCGUGAUUUAGAAGGCCUUCGGGUUGUAAAAAUCUUUUCUAUGGGAAGAAAAUGACAGUACCAUAGGAAUAAGGACCGGCUAAUUACGUGCCAGCAGCCGCGGUAAUACGUAAGGUACGAGCGUUGUGCGGAAUCAUUGGGCGUAAAGGGUACGUAGGCGGGUAAGCAAGUUAGAAGUGAAAUCCUAUAGCUCAACUAUAGUAAGCUUUUAAAACUGCUCAUCUUGGGGUAUGGAAGGGAAAGUGGGAUUCCUAGUGUAGCGGUGAAAUGCAAAGAUAUUAGGAGGGAUACCGGUGGCGAAGGCGACUUUCUGGCCAUAACCUGACGCUGAGGUACGAAAGCGUGGGUAGCAAACAGG
rnacentral:rRNA from 1 species